rnacentral:rRNA from 1 species
UACGGGGGGAGCAAGGCGUUGUUCGGAUUUACUGGGCGUAAAGGGUGCGCAGGCGGCCGUGUGUGUGAGGCGUGAAAGCCUGGAGCUUAACUCCAGAAUUGCACCUCAAACUACAUGGCUAGAGCAUUGGAGAGGGUAGCGGAAUUCACGGUGUAGCAGUGAAAUGCGUAGAUAUCGUGAGGAACACCAGAGGCGAAGGCGGCUACCUGGACAAUUGCUGACACUCAGGCACGAAAGCGUGGGGAGCAAACAGG